AGGACGAACGCUGGCGGCGUGCUUAACACAUGCAAGUCGAGCGGAAAGGCCUUUCGGGGUACUCGAGCGGCGAACGGGUGAGUAACACGUGAGUAAUCUGCCCAUCGCUUCAGGAUAGCCAUCGGAAACGGUGAUUAAUACUGGAUAUGACAUUCCUUCGCAUGUUGGGGUGUGGAAAGUUUUUUCGGCGGUGGAUGUGCUCGCGGCCUAUCAGCUUGUUGGUGGGGUAAUGGCCUACCAAGGCUUUGACGGGUAGCCGGCCUGAGAGGGUGACCGGCCACGA
rnacentral:rRNA from 1 species